CCAGCGUCUCCAAGUCUCACGCUCUCUCCUCCAUCCCAACGUCUCCAGUCUCGCGCUCUCUCCCCCCAAAAACCUCGUCUUCCUCCGCUCGUCUGCGUUCUCGGCCAUCGGUACUCUCCACCGGCGCUCCAGAGUUCAUCGGUACUCUCUAGCGGCGCUCCAGAGUUCCAGACACAGUGACGGUGGCGGCGGCGCCGACUUCUCCGGUAGUACUCGCUGUCCUCCUCCCUCACCUUGCGCGCCGCGGACUCGGAGGAGGAAGACAACCCCUGGGUGCUUACCAACGCGCCAGUGGCCUCCUCGGCGCCGGAGAACCGCGGCGGCCGGUCCGUGGAGUCGUCACUCGGCGCCUAGAUGUAUCUGCUGCUCAUCUACUGGUGCGUCCUGCCCGCAUUUCCGCCACCAGUUUAGGCCAGCUACCAUCUUAAAGGUCUAUACGAUGAUUUCAAAAUCAGUGUAAGCUCAAACAGCGCCGGUGAGAAGCCAAUGCUCUAGAUGUGGCAUCUAAAUAGCACGUGUUCGAAGGGUACGAUCCCAAUCAUAAGAAAUAAGAAGGAUGACUUGCUUCGAGCAGCUCCAUUAAGCGCAUGCCAUAGCGUACGCCGAGGGCGAUAAAUAAUAUGGUGCAAAAUCCAGCAUUAAUGUUUGGGAGCCCAAGAUUCAGCAGGCUAACAAAUUUGGCUUGUCCUAGCUCUGGAUCUUUGGGGGUUCAUUUAAGGAGGAUGUCAACAGUAUAGAGGCUGGUUGAUAGAAAUAGAAUAAUGCGUACCAGGCCACAGGGUGCUAGAUGUUGUGCUCUGGUUUUAUUCAGAUAAACACCAAGAUGGCUAUCGCGACUAGCAUUCUCAACAUCUCAAACUACGCAGGCUCCCAAUGUGAUAUCAGCAUCUUGAUCUAGAAGGGCAGCGGAUUUCUCGAGGGACUACGACGGGAUGCCUCUAGAUGUACAACCCCGACUCCCACUUCUUCCUCUUCCUCAUGUACUGGACCGAUUGCAGCCUAGCUGGCGCGCUUGGGCUACUCAAGAUCCUAAUCUACAAGGUUUAUGUAGAUGGGAGUACCACCGUGACUUGGGAGCUAACUUGGAUAAUGAUCUCUUAGUUCUCAAGACUGUAAAUUACCUUUUCCUGCACCAAGUUGUGAAGUUGUUUCCUCUGAGAUGAAGCAAAACCAAUAAGUAUCUUUUCAAAUUUCAGAAAUCGCACUGAAGCCAUGAGUGCUUCAUGGAAUUCAGUCAUCUGUUGGGGUACAAAUAUGAACUAUAGUUUGCCCCCAAAUUUUCUCUCUUUAUUUUUUCAGUGCAUUAACAUUGAUAGUAUUGGUUUUUUCCUAGGAAAUUAUGUCUAAAUAGAAGUUCAUAACUAAUUCUGUAACUUUGAUAUUAAGAUGGGUGUUCGCCUGAUGAUUUUUAAAUGGAAAAGGAGAAUACGAUGAGUUUUAAAACCUUUGGACUUCAUUUUCAGUAUACAACUUCUGUCAUCUAUAAAUACAUCGGGUUGUAUCCCAUUUUUUAGAUAAUCAGAUUUGCCAACAUGUGUCAAACUUGAUCAGUAGAAUCUACAUGCUCGCAUUCACAAAUGAUACAUAAGGUCCAGCAGUUUUGAAAUAAAACACCACUUAGGUUUAUCCAUGUAAAACAUCCUCUAAUAUGCUUUUCUAAGGGUUUCUCUAUGCUUUUUCAGUCUACAUUUUUCUUAUUUUCCUAUAAUAUAUAAGUGUACCUAGAUAAUGCAUCGGGGAAGCAUUAGACUUGCAGUGAAAUAGUAAUGUACUAAUGUGCAGUGUUAGAUUUCUUUUUGGGCAUCUCUAAACAUGAAUAUAUCACCUUUAUGGAAGUUGCUAUCUAGACUUGAGAUUUGUUCAAAAGUACACAACAUCAGUUCCAAUUUUUGUGCAUUUUUUCAGAUCAGUUCCAAUAACAUGUGGCACUACUCCAGUGAUAUGACCCUCCUUAUUAUAACUGCCAACAUAUAAGUUACCUUUCUUACAAUAUAUUUUAGUCCGCUACAGCGCCCGAUAGGGUGCUAUUUUUUCUAGUUUAAUUAAGGCUCCCUUGGAACAAUGGAUAUAAAAGUACUGUGUCCAUCCUAUGAUAUAAGGCACUGUAACCAAUUUUUAGUUUUGUUCCAUGAUAUAAGGGCAUGUACAAGCUAGAUGUUAUAAUGGUGUUUGGGAUAGCU